CACCCAGGCUAUAGUGCAAUGGCGUGAUCUCAGCUCACUGCAACCUCCACCUCCCUGAUUCAAGUGAUUCUCCUGCCUCAGCCUUCUGAGUAGCUGGGAUUAUAGGCGCGCGCCACCACGCCCAGCUAAUUUUUGUAUUUUAAUAGAGACGGGGUUUCACCAUAUUGGCCAGGCUGGUCUCCGAGCUCCUGACCUCAGGUGAUCCGCCUGCUUUGGCCUCUCAAAGUGCUGGGAUUAUAGGCGUGAGCCACCGCGUCCGGCCCAGGGACACGAUUAUUAAAGGGCAGAGAGCCAGACUGGGGAGGCAGGUGUGCUCCAUUCCCAAGCCCAUGCUUGCCCUGGCUCUGCCGGGAAGACAGUAGGUGCUUUGCUUCCUGAGAAAGGUCAGGAAGAGGCGUGGCUCCUCCAGCUGUACAGACGACCAGGCCAGAUCCACAUGGCCCCGUUUGGUGCUUGGAUGUCUGGUAAACUGCCUGCCAAGGAGGAACGCAGAGGUGAAGCACCUGGUCCGACCCAUCAUUUCACGCUGAAUCGCCUGUUGACCCAUCUCACUUGACUGACUCCUGGGAUGGAGGCCUGGCUCCCUCCAAGGCAGCCCCUUGCGUUGGAAGAAAGGCAAUGGUGUGAAGCCUGUCUGGUUGUACCCUCCAGCUGCGGGUCCUUACUCCAGCUCUCAGAACCAGAAGGAAUCUGUCUAAUUGCUCAUCUACUGGAGAGCCCUUGAGAGGGGCUUCUUCAAGGUCCUGGGAACUCCAGAAUGUUCCCCUCCACUUAAAAAACACAAGGAUGGUCUCCAGGCACCUGAGGAAACACAGUCUCCUGCCCUUUAGGAUCAGCCACCUCUGAGGCCAAGACCUGACCCAGAUUCCGGUACCCUUCACAGAAGGAGCCACCACAGUGGAGAAGGAAGCUCAUGGCUUUUGGGCAAGAGCCUCUUUGAAAAGGAGGAAGAGCUCGCAAAGGGUGACGGCAGAGAGAUGCCCAGAAUCUUGCAGGAGGAAGGAGAAUGCAGCGGUCUUUCCACAGAGUUACCAUUUUCCUCAUUUUACUGAUGAAGAAAUGAAGGUUCAAAGGCAAGGCAUUUAGCCCAGGUUUGCAAAGGCAACGAACAACAGAGCUAGGAUUUGAACCCAGGCUUGUCCUACGCCCAGAAACCUCAGUUGCAGCGACUGUUUCCUGCUGAGCCAGAAGGGUGCUGAGUUGAGCUUCCUGCUUGAUAACUUAAAUCUUCAUUUUUAAUGCAUAAUCACCCUGUUGGAAGAGAGUUGCCUCCACUUUCUCUCAGACUGUGCAGCCUUCAUAAGUUAGGGAUGGCAGACGGGACCAUAGCAAAUGCUGGGCAUUUUACCCCAGAGCAGCCAGCGUGGCACUGGCCACAUUACGGGACAGAAGUCAGAUCCCUGUUUUUCUUCCAGCCCUUUCCAGAGCAAUCAGGGGUGAGAUGGAAAGGUCCUAAAAUAAUAAAAGAUGUCCCUAAGUUCUGGGAAGCCCAAGCAUUAGUUCACUUAUUUAUUCACCAAAGCACGUAUGGAGCCUCCACUGGGCACUGAAGAUAGAAGGAUGAAUAGCACCUGACUCCCUGUUACAGGAACUCUCACCUCUGGAGACACACAUAUACACCAUAAGUAUGUGUCACUGUGACCUGACACAUAAUUGAGGUGUUGCAAAGGGCUACGGGAGCUAAAAGGAGGGAAUGAUUAGUUCUCAUGAGGGUUGGGAGUGUCCAGGGAAGACUUUGUCAAAGGAUGUGUCAUAAGAAAACAAGUAGGUGUUCACCAGAGAGAGGAGUGGGAGCCAUCAAGGAUGGAGGGGGACCAGAACCAAGACUUAGCAUCUACCUUCCAGUAGCAGGAAGGCUGAGCCAGCUUCUUUGAGGAUGAGAGUCCACGUGGAGAGAGAGAUGCCGCACCCCCACCCUAGCUGCACAACCAACUCAGCUGAAGCACUAUGAAGCACCAGACAGGCACAUGAGCUGCCUUGGAUCUUCUGGUCCUGGUCCAACCACCAGCUGAAUCCAGCCUCACAAGAAUGACUGCAGAUGACCCUUUGUGGAGCAGAGACAAGCCACCCACUGCACCCAGCCCAGACUGCAGAAUUGGAAGCAAAUGGUUGUCACUGUUUUGAGUCACUAAGUUUUGGGAUGGUUUUUCAUGCAGCAAUCGUUACUGAAAUUGUUGCCAUUUGGAGGUAGUCUAUAGACUGAAUUUAGUUCAAAUGACCUAAACUCCUCCCAGCUCAGUUAUUCUGCAAACCCCCUCCCUGUUGAGGGCAGGCAUGUAAAGGCUGGACCAGAAUCCUGGGACCCAUUGCAUAGCAAUCACGGAGACAGCUGGGUUCUCCUUUGGAAGCUGGAACCAAACAGCCUCCCCUCCUUGGUUGAUCCAUUUGUUUUACUGCCAUUUUUCUUUCCUUUAUCCUUUCAUCACUGAUGGUGGAGGCAGCUGCCAAAAUAAACUGGGGCAGCCCUCACAGCCGGAAAACACCAACUGCCUGAAUGUCUUUGCUUCUAUUUGCUUCUUUCUGUGCAACAUACUUUUCUUUUUAUUCAUGUAGCAUCUUCCCAUUAAGGACCCAGGAUCACUAGGAAGUAGAGUCUGUCUCAAAGACACCAACUGAGCCCUUAAUCCAUACCAAGCACUUUAUGUAUGUGUCUUAUUCCAUUUUGUGCUGCUAUGACCAAAUACUACUGACUGGGUGAGUUAUAAACAAUAGAAGUUUAUUUGGCUCAUGGUUCUGGAGGCUAGGAAGUCCCAGGUCGAGCCCACCUCUGGUGAGGACCUUCUUGCUGCAUCAUAACAUGGCAGAAGGCACUACAUGGUAAGAGAGAGCAAGAGAUCGAACUUGCAGUUCAAGCCCUUUAAUAAUUGGCAUUAAUCCAUUCAUGAGGGUGGAGCCUUCUUGCCCUAAACACCUCCCCUCAGGUGCCACCUCCCAACACUCUUGCAUUGGGGAUUAAGUUUCCAACACAUAAACUUCAGAGGACACAUUCAAACCAUAGCAGCAUAGUAUCAUGAUUAGACAUUAUUUAUGCAUUCCUACUGUGUACUUGAUGUGUUUGCAUACCUUACCUUUAAUUCUACUGUAGGAUUGGUGCUAUUACCCCAUUUCAGACAGGGGAAUUCUGAGACUCGGAGGGGUUAAAUGACAUGUUA
rnacentral:lncRNA from 10 species